rnacentral:rRNA from 1 species
CCUACGGGUGGCAGCAGUGAGGAAUAUUGGUCAAUGGACGAGAGUCUGAACCAGCCAAGUAGCGUGAAGGAUGACUGCCCUAUGGGUUGUAAACUUCUUUUAUAAAGGAAUAAAACGAGGCACGUGUGCCUUUUUGCAUGUACUUUAUGAAUAAGGAUCGGCUAACUACGUGCCAGCAGCCGCGGUAAUACGUAGGGGGCGAGCUUUAUCCGGAUUCACUGGGGGUAACGGGAGCGUAGACGGCCAAGCAAGACGGGGGGGAAAGCCCGGGGCCCAACCCCGGGACUGCCUUUGGAACUGCAGGGCUGGAGUGCGGGAGGGGCAGGCGGAAUUCCUGGUGUAGCGGUGAAAUGCGUAGAUAUCAGGAGGAACACCGGCGGCGAAGGCGGCCUGCUGGACCGCGACUGACGUUGAGGCUCGAAAGCGUGGGGAGCGAACAGGAUUAGAUACCCUAGUAGUC